GAGUUCGACCAUACCAGCACUAAUACACCUUAUCCCGUCAGAACUCCGCAGUUAAGCGUGCUUGAGCGAGAGUAGUACUAGGUUAGGUGACCUAUUAGGAAGUCCUCGUGUUGCACCCC
rfam:Beta vulgaris subsp. vulgaris 0533.scaffold01098.con0005.1, whole genome shotgun sequence.